GCUUAUUGUUUACAAUGUUUUGGACCCAAUUAGUUGUUUGGGCUCACUGUAGAAAUUCAGUUUCUUUGUCUGUACUCUGUAGUACUAUUCCUAAAUGAACUCACAUUAGGUAAUGAAAACAGCACAAGCCAGGUUAUAAGGUCAAGUAUAUUGGCCAGCUGUAGGAGUCAGUUGCAAGGUUUAUUUUGCAGGGCUCUUCCCUUCAUCUCUGUAUUCUCUCCGUUCUUCCUUUAUUCCAUCCCCUUACUCUUUAAAUUUUGUGUCAGAUUUCUUCACUUAAGACUCUGCUAACUUUCUUUUUGAUCUAUGGAUCUAAUCUAAUACAUCUGUUAUUGUUAUGGGUUGAAAAACAAUCGAUUUUCUUGCUUUGCAGAUACUGCUGAUAUACUGCUUAACUGUUGAUUCUCUUGGCAGCUAAGCAAAUUGUGCAGAAAGUUGGAGCUGGCCUGAUCUGGAAUGAUCUCUUUUUCAAUUAUUUUCAUAUCCAAAACCCCUUUCAAUCUGAAUACCAAAUUCAGACAAUAAGAGUCCUUUAUUUCUUCAUUCUCUCCUUUUCCUCUCAAAAUAAAAAUAUAUGCAUUUCAUUUAUUGAUAUUCCUCAAUCUUUGUAGCCAAACUAGAAACUCUAGCACAGCCUCUAUUGCUUUCCUUCUUGUUAAAUUCAAAAUGAAUUUAAAUCUGUCCACUUUCUACUGCAGGAGAGCAAAUCUUUGGCUUUCUUUUAGAAUUGUUUCUACCUCAUUACUUCAUCUACACUUGCUCAUUGUGCGACACUUUCUCCGUAGGGCGUUGCAUCAAGAAAUCAUGAAUGUCUCUGAAAAACUAUUCUCUUCUAUUGAUGAUUGUGACAAAUCAAAAUCACCUUCAGGAAGAAUGAAUAAGAUAUGGAGAAAGUAAUGGGAAGAGAAAUUAUAUUGUGCAGUGCAAGAAUGUUGAAGAUACAAAAGAUUUAACAGGCAAAGCUUUAAUAACAUGACUUAGAAAAGGACAAGAAAGAGUCAUGCC
rnacentral:lncRNA from 1 species